rnacentral:lncRNA from 1 species
UAAGCAUAGAUAAAAGUCAUGUAAAUCCGAAUAGUGUAAUGUAGCACAUAAGUCUUGGUCUCUUGGCUAACAUAAGAAACCAUAUAAGUCUACUAGCACACAUGACACAAUAUAAAGUUUAGAAUACAUAUUUAUAAUCACUUGCUCACAUCAGCAUCACUUAGCACACAUAGACUAUUACAACCAAGGCUCAUUUGCUCACAUCUCUCAACAAACAUAAGACACAUUGCUCAUGGAGAAGAGCCACUUGCUACAACUUCAUUAUUCUUAGAAAAUGCUAGUGCGUCUUCAUCCUGUUAAUGCACAAAAACAUGUCAGUUUUGGAUAAAUAAAUAAAUACAUAUACAACAUGAAUUGGUAUGCAAGCAGUAUCAAACAGCAACAGUUAUGCACCAACAGACAAGUGAUGCACUAGAAUUUUCUAAGUAUAAUGAAGACAAACUAGCAUCAUGCACGCCAUGUAGAAUAAUACCAAGUACAACAACACUAUUGCUCAUGUAGAAUAAUACCAAGUACUAGCAUCAUAUUCUCUGCAGGAGCCCGAGGCGGUGGUGAACGACUAAACGUGAACAGCUCGACUGAAGUGUCGGGAGGGCGUGCAGCGUGGGGAGGGCCGGAGGGCGCACAGCAUGGAGAGCAUGCGCGCAGUAGCCCGAGGCGGUGGUGAUUGGUGAACGUGAACAACUCGACUGCAGUGUCGGACUCGGGAGGCCGGAGGCGCCGUGGCGGACGCAGUGGUGAACUGGUGAUUGCCGUUUGGUCGAGCUCGGGCGCGUCCGCCGUCCGCGCGUGGAUAUGGUCGGG